CACUUGAACCACAGCUCCACGUCUGGCUUUUUGCUGGUUAAUUGGAGUAAGAGUCUCAUGGACAUUCCUGCUCAGGUUGGCUUUGAAUCAAUGAUCCCCAGAUCUUAGCUUCCUGAAUAGUUACGAUUACAGGUGCUCAGUGCCUAGCUACUUUUGUGUGUGUGUGUGUGUGUGCAAAAAUAGAACAGUACCAAUGACAUUGUAUCAUUCGUCCUUCCCACAUGCCAAUCUCAUUGCCAUUAACUAGAAGCAACAACUAUUGAGUUUGGUCUGCAUUUUCCCAUUCCACAUUACAUAUGCAUCUUACAUUUGAUUGAUGACAUCAUGUUGUUCCUGCCUUUUACAUUUACUUUUUCAUUCAAUAGCAGGUUUUUGAACUCUCAUCUACACUAAUAAGUGUAAGUAGUUUAUUUUUAAGCUGCCAUCAGAUAUUCCAUAAGAACAUAUAACUUGCUGUAUUUUCUUUGAAGGAUCCACUGUUGGUAUGGUAUACAUUAUGUUUGUGUAGGCAAAGGCCCAAAGUCUGCCUCUUCAAGAAGUGUAAAUAAAGCACUGGGUAGGGCUAAAUGGAGUGGUUUGAGGUCAGUGAUGUCUGCUGCUUUUACUUCUCAAUAGUCAUGGACUUGGGUGAAGCCAUCUCAUGAACUUGGUGCCUCUGUCCAUGUUUUGGAUGGAGUGAGAAUCAAAGAAGGGAGCCCGAGUGGGAACCCAGGACCAGGUUCUAGACUCUAGCUAGUGUAUCAUUCAUUGGGAGUCUGAAAACACAGAUUCUAAGAAUACUUAGUAGAGUAGCUAGACAUUCAAACAGAUGUGGUAUCCUUUUUGAAAAUAAAAUAGCUCCUUCCAAACACUUUGAGUCAAGGGAUUGAGUGGUUUCUAAUUGGCCUGCCAUCUGGAAGUUGAAAGGGCAAAGUGAAAAC